rnacentral:miRNA from 1 species
UUAGAUUGGUGCAAAAGUAAUUGCGGUUUUUGCCAUUUCAAAGCAAUUGCAAAAGUAGCAAUUACUUUUGUACCAACCUAAUA